AGAUUGAGCCUCUUGAAACAUUUGCUCUUGGAAUUCUCCCUCUCAGGAAACUAACAGCCUGCUAUGAAGCCCAAGCCACAAAGAGAGGCCAAGGGGAAAUAAACAGAGUGUGAUUAUAUGCAAAACCUACAAGAAUGAGGACCUCCAAACUCAGUGUACAGAGUGAUUUUCUGCUGAAACAAUUGGACACAUACAAGUUUUUGUUGUUUUCCUGAGAGCCAAGGAAUAGAUAAGCUACAUAAAUGACGGCAUAUUGGAUGGUGACAGCGCCUCUAGAGUGUGUACUUCUGAUAUGCAAAGACAUACCAUGUCAGUUUACAACUGUAUUGUAUUUUGUUCUGUUUUCCCUUAUGAUGAUUCACUGGCUGUGAAGCUUUUAAAAAAUUGUGUGACUGACCAGCAGCAGUGGCUCACAUCUGUAAUCCCAGCACUUUGGGAGGCCGAGAAAAUAAAAGAGACAUCAGUGUGUGAAUGACGACUUUCUGUUGCUGACUUGGAAGACAGAGGAAUUGGGUCAUGAGCCGAGGAAGGUGGGCAGCUUCUAAAAGGCGGAAAAGGCAGGGGAUGGCUCUGGCAGAGAAUCACUCCUGAGUACAACUUUCUGGCGGAAGCUCUAAUACAAGAUGUAUACAGAAAAUUACAUUAAAUACCUGUCUCCAGCCUGCUUCAUGUAUUUCUGCAAUGACUAAAGAUGCAUGUUCAGUUUUGGAGGAAUCUUGGGCAACCUUCAGAAAAGAAGAGCGGCAUUGAAUUAAAUGGACUAUAAAAGGAAAUCUUUCAGCUGAAGUAUUCUGACAGCAGCAUAUUCUUGCCAACCAGGUCGUUCCAAAUGUGUAUCUGACCAUUAUUUUAAAUUAGAAGAUAUACCACUGUCAAACCAUAUCAGCCAAGAAUAAAAAGUGACAUAAUAAUGUUAAAGGAAAAA
ensembl:lncRNA LINC02466 long intergenic non-protein coding RNA 2466